UACGGGGGGGGCAAGCGUUGUUCGGAAUUACUGGGCGUAAAGGGCUCGUAGGUGGCCAACUAAGUCAGACGUGAAAUCCCACGGCUCAACCGUGGAAGUGCACUCGAAACUGCAUAGCUAGAGUCCUGGAGAGGAAGGUGGAAUGCUUGGUGUAGAGGUGAAAUUCGUAGAUAUCAAGCGGAACACCGGUGGCGAAGGCGGCCUUCUGGACAGUGACUGACGCUGAGACGCGAAAGCGUGGGGAGCAAACAGG
rnacentral:rRNA from 1 species